ensembl:snoRNA
GUGCCUCCAAGAUAUGCGUGAAUGCUGGAGAGACUGCAGGGAGUCCAAAGGGCUGCGCCUCGCAUGGCUCAGCCUUAUUUCGUACCUGCGACAUCU